GGGUUGUGAGGUUAAGCGACUAAGCGUACACGGUGGAUGCCCUGGCAGUCAGAGGCGAUGAAGGACGUGCUAAUCUGCGAAAAGCGUCGGUAAGGUGAUAUGAACCGUUAUAACCGGCGAUGUCCGAAUGGGGAAACCCAGUGCAAUUCGUUGCACUAUCGUUAACUGAAUACAUAGGUUAACGAGGCGAACCGGGGGAACUGAAACAUCUAAGUACCCCGAGGAAAAGAAAUCAACCGAGAUUCCCCCAGUAGCGGCGAGCGAACGGGGAGCAGCCCAGAGUCUGAAUCAGCUUGUGUGUUAGUGGAACGGUCUGGAAAGUCCGACGGUACAGGGUGAUAGUCCCGUACACCAAAAUGCACAGGUUGUGAACUCGAAGAGUAGGGCGGGACACGUGGUAUCCUGUCUGAAUAUGGGGGGACCAUCCUCCAAGGCUAAAUACUCCUGACUGACCGAUAGUGAACCAGUACCGUGAGGGAAAGGCGAAAAGAACCCCGGCGAGGGGAGUGAAAAAGAACCUGAAACCGUGUACGUACAAGCAGUGGGAGCACCUUCGGGUGUGACUGCGUACCUUUUGUAUAAUGGGUCAGCGACUUAUAUUCUGUAGCAAGGUUAACCGUAUAGGGGAGCCGCAGGGAAACCGAGUCUUAACUGGGCGUUAAGUUGCAGGGUAUAGACCCGAAACCCGGUGAUCUAGCCAUGGGCAGGUUGAAGGUUGGGUAACACUAACUGGAGGACCGAACCGACUAAUGUUGAAAAAUUAGCGGAUGACUUGUGGCUGGGGGUGAAAGGCCAAUCAAACCGGGAGAUAGCUGGUUCUCCCCGAAAGCUAUUUAGGUAGCGCCUCGUGAAUUCAUCUUCGGGGGUAGAGCACUGUUUCGGCUAGGGGGUCAUCCCGACUUACCAACCCGAUGCAAACUACGAAUACCGAAGAAUGUUAUCACGGGAGACACACGGCGGGUGCUAACGUCCGUCGUGAAGAGGGAAACAACCCAGACCGCCAGCUAAGGUCCCAAAGUCAUGGUUAAGUGGGAAACGAUGUGGGAAGGCACAGACAGCCAGGAUGUUGGCUUAGAAGCAGCCAUCAUUUAAAGAAAGCGUAAUAGCUCACUGGUCGAGUCGGCCUGCGCGGAAGAUGUAACGGGGCUAAACCAUGCACCGAAGCUGCGGCAGCGACACUAUGUGUUGUUGGGUAGGGGAGCGUUCUGUAAGCCUGCGAAGGUGACCUGUGAGGGUUGCUGGAGGUAUCAGAAGUGCGAAUGCUGACAUAAGUAACGAUAAAGCGGGUGAAAAGCCCGCUCGCCGGAAGACCAAGGGUUCCUGUCCAACGUUAAUCGGGGCAGGGUGAGUCGACCCCUAAGGCGAGGCCGAAAGGCGUAGUCGAUGGGAAACAGGUUAAUAUUCCUGUACUUGGUGUUACUGCGAAGGGGGGACGGAGAAGGCUAUGUUAGCCGGGCGACGGUUGUCCCGGUUUAAGCAUGUAGGCUGGUUAUCCAGGCAAAUCCGGAUAAUCAAGGCUGAGGUGUGAUGACGAGGCACUACGGUGCUGAAGUAACAAAUGCCCUGCUUCCAGGAAAAGCCUCUAAGCAUCAGGUAACAUUAAAUCGUACCCCAAACCGACACAGGUGGUCAGGUAGAGAAUACCAAGGCGCUUGAGAGAACUCGGGUGAAGGAACUAGGCAAAAUGGUGCCGUAACUUCGGGAGAAGGCACGCUGGUGUGUAGGUGAAGUCCCUGCGGAUGGAGCUGAGACCAGUCGAAGAUACCAGCUGGCUGCAACUGUUUAUUAAAAACACAGCACUGUGCAAACACGAAAGUGGACGUAUACGGUGUGACGCCUGCCCGGUGCCGGAAGGUUAAUUGAUGGGGUUAUCCGUAAGGAGAAGCUCUUGAUCGAAGCCCCGGUAAACGGCGGCCGUAACUAUAACGGUCCUAAGGUAGCGAAAUUCCUUGUCGGGUAAGUUCCGACCUGCACGAAUGGCGUAAUGAUGGCCAGGCUGUCUCCACCCGAGACUCAGUGAAAUUGAACUCGCUGUGAAGAUGCAGUGUACCCGCGGCAAGACGGAAAGACCCCGUGAACCUUUACUAUAGCUUGACACUGAACAUUGAGCCUUGAUGUGUAGGAUAGGUGGGAGGCUUUGAAGCGUGGACGCCAGUCUGCGUGGAGCCAACCUUGAAAUACCACCCUUUAAUGUUUGAUGUUCUAACGUUGGCCCCUGACCGGGGUUGCGGACAGUGUCUGGUGGGUAGUUUGACUGGGGCGGUCUCCUCCCAAAGCGUAACGGAGGAGCACGAAGGUUAGCUAAUCCUGGUCGGACAUCAGGAGGUUAGUGCAAUGGCAUAAGCUAGCUUGACUGCGAGCGUGACGGCGCGAGCAGGUGCGAAAGCAGGUCAUAGUGAUCCGGUGGUUCUGAAUGGAAGGGCCAUCGCUCAACGGAUAAAAGGUACUCCGGGGAUAACAGGCUGAUACCGCCCAAGAGUUCAUAUCGACGGCGGUGUUUGGCACCUCGAUGUCGGCUCAUCACAUCCUGGGGCUGAAGUAGGUCCCAAGGGUAUGGCUGUUCGCCAUUUAAAGUGGUACGCGAGCUGGGUUUAGAACGUCGUGAGACAGUUCGGUCCCUAUCUGCCGUGGGCGCUGGAGAAUUGAGGGGGGCUGCUCCUAGUACGAGAGGACCGGAGUGGACGCAUCACUGGUGUUCGGGUUGUCAUGCCAAUGGCACUGCCCGGUAGCUAAAUGCGGAAGAGAUAAGUGCUGAAAGCAUCUAAGCACGAAACUUGCCCCGAGAUGAGUUCUCCCUGAGACUUUAAGUCUCCUGAAGGAACGUUAAAGACGAUGACGUUGAUAGGCCGGGUGUGUAAGCGCAGCGAUGCGUUGAGCUAACCGGUACUAAUGAACCGUGAGGCUUAACCUUACAACGCCGAAG
rnacentral:rRNA from 1 species